rfam:Brevundimonas diminuta ATCC 11568 genomic scaffold BDIM_scaffold00003, whole genome shotgun sequence.
AACGCUCUCGCGGGAGAGAUCGGGUCCGUUCGCGGCGCCCGGAGCCGAAGGCGCAACCGCCCCGGAAACGCUCAGGCAAAAGGACCGCGAAAGCGCA